GCGCGCGUAGCUCAGAGGCAGAGCGCUGCUUUCACACGGCAGAGGUCGUAGGUUCAAAUCCUACCGCGCGCAC
rnacentral:tRNA from 1 species